ensembl:lncRNA
ACCAUCUCAGAGCUGCGCUCCAUGAAGACACGGCCGUAUGAUUUGGGUGUUAGGGUGAAUGUUUAAUGGCAGACACUCCAAGGCUGAGUGACUAGAGGAGCUUUUCUUUUCCACAAAACAACGGCGUCCCCUCCCGCGGUGGAGCUUGUGAAUCUGUAUAAUGAAAGUGCCACGUGCAAGGGCGCGAGCAGGAUUGCGUCAUAAGUCAAGUAUCGCUGAAUUGAAGGGGUUCGACGGGCAAAAGUAUCUGUUUUGUGCACACGUCAUCGUUAUGGUGGCUUCGUGCCGUCUUAUCUAACAACUCAGGGGACAGAUUAAAAAUAGACCAAAUUUGACCUCAUGUUUUAUACAUCUCUGGCCUUCGACUAACCAGUCAAAAAGUGCAUGUAAGGAACCGUUGACACAUUUAAAUCGGCUUCUUCUGCAACAAAUGCAUUCUUUUAUGUAAAGUACUAAAAAGUUGGACUUUCUUUCUGUUCUGACUCUCCAGACAGAGUUGAAGAUCCCUCCCUGUGAUUUAAAGACAUUUCACAUUCCCAAGUCAAGAUACACUGAGACAAAGGACAAGUCUGAAUUGCCCCCUUUGGCCUCCUCAAAACUUAAUGCAUCACCAAAAGAACACGACGAAGGACAUUUUGUGGGACAUAUUUGUAGAGCUUUUUGCGCUCUUGUGUCCCCAAAAGUGCUGUGAAAGUUGGCGUUGUGAAAUAUAUUCAAAGAGCACCUUUUUUAAGUGAAAAACAUCAUAAUGUGCUUCAUAUUACAAAGUCCCAAACGAGUGGCUCUAUAGCUGUUCACAGGUCUAUAAUAUUGCUUUUUUUAAAUAAAAACUGCUCAGUUGUUAUAAACGCAGAUCCGUCUUCACUGCCUUAAAAAAAGGUUCCUUGUAGUAGCUUUUGAGAGGUGGUUGAACAACAGCCUGUUUUAUAUGAUAAUAUCAAGGAAGUAUUCAUCAUACAAGGACGAACAGAGCUAAUAAUAUUCUUCAAUAGAUGUAAAAUGUCAUGGGCCACCAGAAGAACUUUUCACCAUAAGAAGUCUUCCAAAGUCUUCACAAGACGAGUCCCUCAACUGAGACGGCCCCUAAAGUAGACGAAGUCUGAGACUUUUGAAAAGCAGACUGGAAUCAAACACCGCAGCCCUGGUUAUAAUUAUACAACAGAACAUUGGGGGCAUCAGUUACACAUUUACUGUAUCUCAUAUCUCAUUCAGUCUAAAAAAUAAAAAAAAUAAAAAAAAGAUGACAGAGACGGCGGAUUCUGUUUUCCCAAACGUCUGGGACAAUCUGGACGGGGAGGUUAAUGAGGAACACGCUCCAUUCCCGUUGAAAUGUCCUUGAGCAAGGCCAUAAAUCCGCACAAGCUCCAGGAAUCCCUCCGAGGCUUCUAGUUGAAGACUGAGGUCUUGCCAGGCAGCUCCCAGGUGUGUAAGAGUAUAAAAGUGAUCCUCAAUAAAAGUAAAAAAAAAAAGAAAAAGAAAUGCCUACAUGCUCAGUGAACCUUGCCGGGAUAAGUGAAGGUCAGCAAAGUCAAUUUAAGGUUUUGGACGAGGCAGUGAGCAAAGCCAAAGUAGGGGGGGGGGGCUGCAGUAGGUCAGGGAGGCCCGACAGAAAAGUCCACACACACGCUCUGCCAUUUGAGAUUUCUAUAAAGUGUCAAAUUGACAAAAGGUGUCAUUUCAAAAAGGAACAUCAAAGCGUAUCUGACACCUUGAUUGUUUCUGGACCAGAAUUUGGAUGGAUGGCCCUUUUUAAAGUUUGACUCACUUAUUCUCUUCUUCUUGCUUUUUACAAGGUCAAUUACAUCCGAGCGCUGCCCCGCGUCCAUUCAUUCAAAGGGAAGAGGCAAAAAUAAAAGGUUUCAGAAUGACACCAGUUGUGAUCUGUAGUGACACAGGAGUGAAUUAGAGAAGCCGAAGGGCAAAUAGAUGACACACGCGGCACGAAACAUACGCGUCGGCAGCAAUCCGCUUCAAUGUUGUAUUUUCUGUAUCGAAAUAAGAGGAAACUUGGAGAUGGAGUGGAUCCUGAGUUAAAGCCUGUGGGAAUGGCAAGGGUAGUGUUUAGGUUGGAAAACUGAUACAGAAAUAUUAAAAAAGGUAAUAAAUCACCGUAGAGCUUUUUCUUCAGAUACUGUUAUUGAUCAGGAACCCCAUCAAAGGCCAUGAGGCAUUUUGUCCACUUAAAAUCAUACUCAUCAUUGCUUUAAUUGAAAUUGGACCCCAACCCCACAUGACCUCAAUAGAAAUGUCGUCCGUCAGAGUAUCAUUUCCCUCUCAUUCAUUUUGGAUUAGUUCCCAAUCAGAUAGGAACCCGAUAUCACCGCCGUCACUUG